rnacentral:rRNA from 1 species
CUACGGGCCGCUGCAGUCGAGAAUCUUCCGCAAUGGACGAAAGUCUGACGGAGCGACGCCGCGUGCGGGAUGAAGGCCUUCGGGUUGUAAACCGCUGUCAGUGGGGAGGAAAUGCAUCAGGGUUCUCCCUGAUGUUUGACCGAUCCGCAGAGGAAGCGCAGGCUAAGUUCGUGCCAGCAGCCGCGGUAACACGAACUGCGCGAACGUUAUUCGGAAUCACUGGGCUUAAAGAGUUCGUAGGCGGCCUUUCAAGUCGGGUGUGAAAUCCCUCGGCUCAACCGAGGAAUUGCGCCUGAUACUGUUGGGCUUGAGGGGGAUAGGGGUGAGCGGAACUGAUGGUGGAGCGGUGAAAUGCGUUGAUAUCAUCAGGAACACCGGUGGCGAAGGCGGCUCACUGGAUCUCUUCUGACGCUGAGGAACGAAAGCUAGGGGAGCGAACGGGAUUAGAUACCCGAGUAGUC